UUUUCAAAGGUGUAGCUUUGGUGGUUUUCAAUGCCACUGCUAGUGCAUCUUCUUGUUAUUUCUUGUCAAAGUUGAUAGGGAGGCACAUUGUCUUCUCUCUUUGGCCUGACAAGCUGCAGUUUUUCCAAAACCAGGUGGCUAAAAGAAGAGAGGGACUUUUGAACUACAUGUUGUUUCUA